rnacentral:rRNA from 1 species
UACAGAGGGGGCGAGCGUUGUUCGGAAUUACUGGGCGUAAAGGGCGCGUAGGCGGCCAACUAAGUCAGACGUGAAAUCCCUCGGCUCAACCGGGGAACUGCGUCUGAUACUGGAUGGCUUGAAUUCGGGAGAGGGAUGCAGAAUUCCAGGUGUAGCGGUGAAAUGCGUAGAUAUCUGGAGGAAUACCGGUGGCGAAGGCGGCAUCCUGGACCGAGAUUGACACUGAUGAGCGAAAGCUAGGGGAGCAAACGGG